rnacentral:rRNA from 1 species
UUUUCUUUGAGUCGCGUUGUUUGGGAAUGCAGCGCAAAGUAGGUGGUAAAUUCCAUCUAAAGCUAAAUAUUGGUGCGAGACCGAUAGCGAACAAGUCCCGUGAGGGAAAGAUGAAAAGAACUUUGAAAAGAGAGUUAAAGAGUCCCUGAAACUGCUGAAAGGGAACCGAAUCGUUUCCAGUUUCUAUAAUCUGCGGCAUAUUUCACGUGCGAGUGUGUGCGUUUCGGCUUGGUGGCAGCGUUCUUUUGUCUGCGCCCGUUGCUGUUUGUGCGCUUGCUUGCGUGUGCCCUGUGCUGUGGUGGGACGUCAAGGUGAGUUCGUAUGCUGCGGGAAAUGGCCGUCGGGGAGGUAGGUCUUAAGCUCCGCUUUUGGCUAUUAUAUCUCGGCGGUUGAGUCGUCGCGGUUGGGACUGAGGUGCCUACAACGUGCUUUUGAGCGCGUGCGUGUCUCUGUGCGGUUGUUGUGCGGAUAGCUUGCUAUGCGCGUGGCGUUGCGUGCGGAUUGAUAUGCGCUGCUGCUUGUUGCCGUUCGGGACUUUGACCGAAUGGCGCGAUCCGACCCGUCUUGAAACACGGACCAAGGAGUCUAACACGCGUGCAAGUGUUUUGGUGUGGAAACCAUAACGCGCAAUGAAAGUAAAGGGCGCCUUGUGGCGUCUGAGGUAGGAAAGCUUGUCGUUUUGGCGAGGUGGCACUAUCGACCGAUCAUGAGCCUUCGUGGCGAAAGAUUUGAGUUUGAGCACGUGUGUUGGUACCCGAAAGAUGGUGAACUAUGCCUGAGUAGGGUGAAGCCAGGGGAAACUCUGGUGGAAGCUCGUAGCGAUUCUGACGUGCAAAUCGAUCGUCAAACUUGGGUAUAGGGGCGAAAGACUAAUCGAACCAUCUAGUAGCUGGUUCCCUCCGAAAUUUCCCUCAGGAUAGCAGCAACUUGUUUACGAUA